UAGGAAGUGGUGUAGUGGAAGCACGAAGAGUUUUGAUCUCUUAAGGUAAGGUUCGAGUCCUUAUUUUCUAA
rnacentral:tRNA from 1 species